GCGACGCUAUGAUGCACUCUCGAGCAUAUUACUUGGGCCGAAUGGGGGGAAAACCUGUUGCCCCCCCUUCGGGAUGGGGCUAGAUAAUUGCAAUUUUUAUCCUGGAACGAGGAAUUCCUAGUAACCGCAAGUCAUCAACUUGCGUUGAUUACGUCCCUGCCCUUUGUACACACCGAAAAUUG
rnacentral:rRNA from 1 species